rnacentral:rRNA from 1 species
CACGUAGGGCGCAAGCGUUGUCCGGAAUUAUUGGGCGUAAAGAGCUCGUAGGCGGUCUGUUACGUCUGCUGUGAAAACCCAGGGCUUAACCCUGGGCUUGCAGUGGAUACGGGCAGACUAGAGGCAGGUAGGGGAGAAUGGAAUUCCCGGUGUAGCGGUGAAAUGCGUAGAUAUCUGGAGGAACACCGGUGGCGAAGGCGGCAUCCUGGACCGGUAUUGACGCUGAGGCGCGAAAGCCAGGGGAGCAAAGCGGG